UACGGAGGGUGCAAGCGUUAUCCGGAAUCACUGGGUUUAAAGGGUGCGUAGGCGGCUAAAUAAGUCAGAGGUGAAAGCUUGCAGCUUAACUGCGAAAUUGCCUUUGAUACUGUAUAGCUUGAAAGGAGCUGAGGUCAGCAGAAUGUGGCAUGUAGCGGUGAAAUGCAUAGAUAUGCCAUAGAAUACCAAUUGCGAAGGCAGCUGGCUGGGCUUACUUUGACGCUAAGGCACGAAAGCGUGGCGAUCGAACAGC
rnacentral:rRNA from 1 species